rnacentral:lncRNA from 1 species
GCUGCUGCUUCCGACUCGCUGGAGUGGUGAUGCUGGGAGAUCUCCCUUGGAAAGACCCCCACCGAGGAAAGGGACAUGAUGGCUUGAGGCUGCUGCUUCGGACUGGCUGGAGCGGCGAUGCGGCGAGAUCUCCCUUGGAGAGACCCCCGCCGAGGAAAGGCGCCUGACGGCUCCAGGUCAUGGUUGGGGAAAUAACCUAUGCAGAUUUAAACAUCCAGGAAACCCCUUCAUCUUUGAGCCCAUCCGUGCCACAUCCAUCUGAGAACUCCGCGACCGAGUUCACCAUCGUUUUGCCCGUGCGCUCCCCUCCCCCUCACCUCCGCCCGCAAGGGUGCAUCGGAAGUCGCCCAGGUUCUCCAGCUCGCAGGUCUUCUUUGCACCCGGAGGCGGCAGCGGCAGGCACGUCGGGACGCUUUUCAAGAGUCUCGGCACCCAGAGGCGGCAACUGGACCGCUCCGGGUAAGGCGCAGGCAGCGAUCAUGGACGGCGGCGGGCGGGCGAGGGAGGCUCUUGCUGCGGAUUGGCAAACUAGUUUUUCGUUUUCAUCGGUCGUGGGCCGUGAUAUGCCCUCCAGUCAGGACCGGCUUAGGGCGACCCUAAUAGGGCUUUCAAAGUAUCCUUGAGAUCUUUUAGCAUUUAUUUUGCCGGUUCCACCCCCCACCCCACCCGCGAGUUUCCAUAGCCGAGCAGAGACUCAGAUCCGGCCUCUGGAACCCUCGUCGAUCACUCUGCCCUUUAACAGUCCAAAAGGGGUAUCUUUUUAUUAAAUAUUAUUAAAAGCACUUAAUUUAGGAUAGAGCGGGGAAAACGCUGCGCUGCCCGCUCCUCACCAGACAGCUGCAUGCAUCUUGGCCAGCAGCUACUUUUCUAUCGCCUUGGCACAAAUUAGGGUUUUCAGAUUACUACAAAGUCAGAAGCCUGAAUGGGGCAAGUGCUGGGAGUUUCUUUUUAAAAAUUAACUGUGCCACCUUUGUUGGAUAGCUGCGAACAGCGUAUUGAAGGAGCGAGCGAGCGAAGUCGCCAUCAUCCUCUUUUGUAGGAAAAGAACGCCUCCUUGCUUUGCUUUCUGCUGCUCCCCAAGGAGGACGAAGACCUUGCUCUUCAAGCCAGCUUCCCCUCAAAUGACUGGCUGCCUGAGUGGGGUUUUUGAAUGGAUUGUUCUAACUUACUGCUUUGGAUGUGUUUUUACUGUUGCUUUUUGUUUACCGUCGUUUAGUGCGUUGUUCGAUCCUUUUCAGUAUCUGUAUACUUACUGCUUUUGCUUUUAAAUGUUGUACUUUAAUUGCUUAAGCCCGCUUGCAUCCUUUUUCAGGAGAAGGUGGGGGAUAAAAAUAUUUUAAAUAAAGAAAUCAAAAUCGCUGGGUAGUGUGUCCCU